rnacentral:tRNA from 1 species
UAAGAAAUAGUAUAACGGUAAUACUAAGAAUUUUGAUUUCUUAAAUAAGAGUUCAAUUCUCUUUUUCUUAC